UACGAAGGGGGCUAGCGUUGCUCGGAAUCACUGGGCGUAAAGCGCACGUAGGCGGCUUUCUAAGUCAGGGGUGAAAUCCUGGAGCUCAACUCCAGAACUGCCUUUGAUACUGGAGAGCUUGAGUCCGGAAGAGGUGAGUGGAACUCCGAGUGUAGAGGUGAAAUUCGUAGAUAUUGGGAGGAACACCAGUGGCGAAGGCGGCUCACUGGACCGGAACUGACGCUGAGGCGCGAAAGCGUGGGGAGCAAACAGG
rnacentral:rRNA from 1 species